AGAGGACGGAGAAGGUUAAGUCAGCCUGGCGUUGGUUGUCCAGGUGGAAGACUGUAGGCAUGUAUCUUAGGCAAAUCCGGGGUACUCUAUGCUGAGAGUUGAUAGCAAGCCAGUUUACUGGUGAAGUGGCUGAUACCAUACUUCCAGGAAAAGUCUCUAAGCUUCAGUUACACUGGAAUCGUACCCGAAACCGACACAGGUGGUCAGGUCGAGUAGACCAAAGC
rnacentral:rRNA from 1 species